CCCUUAGAUGUUCUGGGCUGCACGCGUGCUACACUGAUUAUUUCAACAAGUGUUUUAACUGGAGAGUUCGCGUAAUCCUGAAAUGUUAUCGUGAUGGGAGUAGAGUAUUGUAUUUGUUAAUCUUUAACGAGGAAUUCCUAGCAAGUGUAGGUUUAUAAGUUGUUCUGAUUACGUCCCUGCCCUUUGUACACACCGCCCGUCGCUCCUACCGAUUGAUUGAUCCGGUGAAUUACAUAGAAUUUUGCGUUUUACAUGACGGAAGACGAAGUGUUUUAAACCUUAUCAUUUAGGGGAAGGAGAAGUCGUAACA
rnacentral:rRNA from 1 species